ensembl:miRNA
UCGGUGGUACUAUACCUCAGUCUUAUCAGGUGUUCCUUAAAAUCACCUGACAAUACUGAGGUCACGUUUCACUGAACA